rnacentral:rRNA from 1 species
UGGGCCUACGGGGGGCAGCAGUGAGGAAUAUUGGUCAAUGGGCGCAAGCCUGAACCAGCCAAGUCGCGUGAGGGAUGACGGUCCUAUGGAUUGUAAACCUCUUUUGUCGGGGAGCAAGGCCCGCCACGUGUGGCGGGAAGGAGAGUACCCGAAGAAAAAGCAUCGGCUAACUCCGUGCCAGCAGCCGCGGUAAUACGGAGGAUGCGAGCGUUAUCCGGAUUUAUUGGGUUUAAAGGGUGCGCAGGCGGCGAGUUAAGUCAGCGGUAAAAUUUCGGGGCUCAACCCCGACGAGCCGUUGAAACUGG